GGGAGGUAGUGACAAUAAAUAACAAUACAGGGUUCUUUGAAUCUUGUAAUUGGGAUGAGUACAAUUUAAAUCUCUUAACGAGGAACAAUUGGAGGGCAAGUCUGGUGCCAGCAGCCGCGGUAAUUCCAGCUCCAAUAGCGUAUAUUAAAGUUGUUGCAGUUAAAAAGCUCGUAGUUGAAUUUCGGGAUCAAUACGUCGGUCGUGCUUUUUUGGUACGCACUGGCGUCAUUGGUUUCUCCUUUCUGACGAACCAUGAUGUCAUUAAUUUGGUGUUAUGGGGAGUUAGGACUGUUACUUUGAAAAAUUAGAGUGUUUAAAGCAGGCAAACGCUUGAAUACAUUAGCAUGGAAUAAUGAAAUAGGACGUUCGAACCUAUUUUGUUGGUUUCUAGGUACAACGUAAUGAUUAAUAGGGAUAGUUGGG
rnacentral:rRNA from 1 species